UGCCUCGCCAUAAAACCCAGUUUCACUACUUCCUUCAUAACCAGUUGGAACUUGCUGAGGUUGAUCAGCAAUACUGGUUAUGGUAGAUGUGGAGGGUCCUAAUGGCUGCUGAUCAUCACUGGAACCACCAUGAGAGCCAUUAUUACCCUCUUCAUCAUCGGGCAUUUGUGAAACUUCAGGUGUUUCAGUAUCAUAGCAAUCAAAAAAGGUUAUAUGAUUUAAGUUUUUGUCAAUAAAUUCUGAAUUACCAACAUGUUUAUUCUUGAAAGGGUAAACAUCCUCAUAAAACUUAACAUCUCUAGAAAAUAAGACCUUCUUAUUAUCUAGACUCCACAAUUUAUACCCCUUCUUAACAUUAGAAUACCCAAUCAAUACACACUUAUCAGCAUGAUAAGUAAACUUGUCUGAUUCAUUUAACACAGUGCUAAAACACAAACACCCGAAGUUUCUAAGAUGCGUUAAAGAGGGUUUAAAACCAAAGACUAUCUCAUACGGACUUUUACCUAACAACACAGAAGAGGAAUUACCAUGUUUCCCAACAAAGUAUAAACCAUUGUCCUGACUACCAGUCACCAG
rnacentral:lncRNA from 1 species